CCUACGGGAGGCAGCAGUGAGGAAUAUUGGUCAAUGGACGAGAGUCUGAACCAGCCAAGUAGCGUGAAGGAUGACUGCCCUAAGGGUUGUAAACUUCUUUUAUAAGGGAAUAAAGUGAUCCACGUGUGGGUUGUUGUAUGUACUAUAUGAAGAAGGAUCGGCUAAAUCUGGUCCAGCAGGCGCGGGAAUACGGAGGAGCGGAGCGUUAUCCGGAUUUAUUGGGUUUAAAGGGAGCGUAGGUGGAUUGUUAAGUCAGUUGUGAAAGUUUGCGGCUCAAACGUAAAAUUGCAGUUGAAACUGGCAGUCUUGAGUACAGUAGAGGUGGGCGGAAUUCGUGGUGUAGCGGUGAAAUGCUUAGAUAUCACGAAGAACUCCGAUUGCGAAGGCAGCUCACUGGACUGCAACUGACACUGAGGCUCGAAAGUGUGGGUAUCAAACAGGAUUAGAUACCCCUGUAGUC
rnacentral:rRNA from 1 species